GAGUUUGUAUCUUGGCUCAGGACGAACGCUGGCGGCGUGCCUAAUACAUGCAAGUCGAGCGGAGUUGAUAAGGUGCUUGCACCUUUGAUACUUAGCGGCGGACGGGUGAGUAACACGUGGGUAACCUGCCUAUAAGACUGGGAUAACAUUCGGAAACGAAUGCUAAUACCGGAUACGCGAUAUGGUCGCAUGACCGAAUCGGGAAAGAUGGAGCAAUCUAUCACUUAUAGAUGGACCCGCGGCGCA
rnacentral:rRNA from 1 species